GUAUUCACUUCGGCAGCACAUAUACUAAAACUGAAACGAUACAGAAGAUUAGCGUGGCCCCUGCACAAAGAUGAUAAGUAAAUUUGCGAAACGUUCCAUAUUAAA
ensembl:snRNA U6 U6 spliceosomal RNA